rnacentral:rRNA from 1 species
CCUACGGGAGGCAGCAGUGGGGAAUCUUGCGCAAUGGGCGAAAGCCUGACGCAGCCAUGCCGCGUGAAUGAUGAAGGUCUUAGGAUUGUAAAAUUCUUUCACCGGGGACGAUAAUGACGGUACCCGGAGAAGAAGCCCCGGCUAACUUCGUGCCAGCAGCCGCGGUAAUACGAAGGGGGCUAGCGUUGCUCGGAAUUACUGGGCGUAAAGGGAGCGUAGGCGGAUAGUUUAGUCAGAGGUGAAAGCCCAGGGCUCAACCUUGGAAUUGCCUUUGAUACUGGCUAUCUUGAGUACGGAAGAGGUAUGUGGAACUCCGAGUGUAGAGGUGAAAUUCGUAGAUAUUCGGAAGAACACCAGUGGCGAAGGCGACAUACUGGUCCGUUACUGACGCUGAGGCUCGAAAGCGUGGGGAGCAAACAGGAUUAGAUACCCUGGUAGUCCACGCUGUAAACGAUGAGUGCUAGUUGUCGGCAUGCAUGCAUGUCGGUGACGCGAGCUACGACAUAAGUACACGUCCGCCGUCGGGAGGUACGGUACGCGAACGAAGUUAAACGUUAACGUAAAGUUAAAGUUAGUACGGCGUUGAGACGNGCCGACGGACGACGACGAGGGAGGAGG